GAAUGGGACCCUUGAUACAAGGCUUUCAUAGACCAGCCGGUGCUGAUGGGGUCCGGGACUUGACGAUGGCGCCUGCUCGUUCCUGUUGUGUUCUAUCUGAGGCAUGAUUUUCUUUCGUUUUUGGGAGGUAGAGAGCACGGGGCAGAGGUUGCACCUGACACAUUAGAACUCCGUUGUCACUGCUGUGGCUGUUAUUCCCCUCGGCAAGAGCCAAGGAGCAAACAGGACGGUGGGUCACCUCGCCAGCUAUUUAGCACCAUUUCCUUUCUCUUCCUCAACCUUGUUAGAAUUUUCUCUUUCUUAAGUGACAGGGUUUGAUGGGGGUUACUGUGCCCCCCUGUCUACCCCUGCUUUAUCUUGAUAAGGACUUGCUUUAUCCUGAUUUCUAACACCUCUCCUCAUUAUAAAAGCUUGCUAGACUCUCAUUCCCGGUUCCUGCAACUCAGUUUUUCUGCUCUAUUGUUUGGGUUUUCUCUUUGAAUGUUAGUCCCGAAUUUCUCAGCUUCUGUGGUUACCUCACAAGUUAACAGGGGUAAAAUUAUUGUCUGAGCUAUUUUCUUUAGGAAGAAAAAAAUUUUGCUCUUUGGGGUGAUAGUCCCAAGAAAAGGAAUGAGUAGCAGAGGGAAAUGAGGGGAUAUUGUUUUGCAGCUUCUGCUACGGCUUGGCUGUGAAUACCUGUGCUCAGGUGAGACUUUCUGUUGUGUUUAUGGAGUUAGAGACAAAUGUUAACCUUCAUGAUAUUUUCCAUAUCUCGCUUGGAAAUUAUUUCAAUUCUAACAAAAAGUGCGGAGGAAAGAAGCAUUGCUUUUCAUGCACCAGAAAAGAGGGACAAAAUCACAGAUAACAUCAGAUGCAAAGGACAUCAUUCCAUUUGAAAUGAUUUAUAUUUAAAAGGGAGUGAGAUCAGCUGUUACUUAUACCACCCUCUUUCUUCUUGUGUAUUCAAGUUAGCAAUAUUUUAAUGUCCUUGAAAACGAAAGGCAGAGCAUUGGUUUUCGGAAGGGUCGAUUUUUUUGAGGUUUCUGUAAAAUGAGAUAAAAGAAGUCUUUAUUUUGUUUCAGGUGGUUAGCCCAGAAUAUAUUCAAUACAAGUUAACACAGACAUAUGCAGUGUAAGACGGUGCUCACAACACUUGCAACUAAACACACACAGCCCCCCCACACAAACCCACUCAACAUUAACCAAAAUCCAGGCUUGAGUUUAAACCAAAAUGAUUUCAUUUAUGGAGGAAAAUUAAUCUUCUUAUAUGCUUUUCUACAGCUAAAUAUUUAGCUUUCCUUUUUUAAUCACUAUUUUCUUAGCUUCUUUCAUAAAAACCACUGAAAUGAACAAAGAACUCUACCGUAUAGUUAAUUUCAGUUCUAGUGGGAGUUGAUUAAAAUGGAACGUAGAUCACAUAUACGAUAAACUCUUUUUUGUCAGCAGGCAAUUCCUUUUAGUUCAGCUUAAUGCAUUUUAUUCCCAA
rnacentral:lncRNA from 1 species